AUUGAACGCUGGCGGCAGGCCUAACACAUGCAAGUCGAGCGGAUGAAGGGAGCUUGCUCCUGGAUUCAGCGGCGGACGGGUGAGUAAUGCCUAGGAAUCUGCCUGGUAGUGGGGGAUAACGUCCGGAAACGGGCGCUAAUACCGCAUACGUCCUGAGGGAGAAAGUGGGGGAUCUUCGGACCUCACGCUAUCAGAUGAGCCUAGGUCGGAUUAGCUAGUUGGUGGGGUAAAGGCCUACCAAGGCGACGAUCCGUACUGGUCUGAGAGGAUGAUCAGUCACACUGGAACUGAGACACGGUCCAGACUCCUACGGGAGGCAGCAGUGGGGAAUAUUGGACAAUGGGCGAAAGCCUGAUCCAGCCAUGCCGCGUGUGUGGAGAAGGUCUUCGGAUUGUAAAGCACUUUAAGUUGGGAGGAAGGGCAGUAAGUUAAUACCUUGCUGUUUUGACGUUACCAACAGAAUAAGCACCGGCUAACUUCGUG
rnacentral:rRNA from 1 species